UGCGUAGGUGGUUUCUUAAGUCAGGGGUGAAAGGCUACGGCUCAACCGUAGUAAGCCUUUGAAACUGGGAAACUUGAGUGCAGGAGAGGAGAGUGGAAUUCCUAGUGUAGCGGCGAAAUGCGUAGAUAUUAGGAGGAACACCAGUUGCGAAGGCGGCUCUCUGGACUGUAACUGACACUGAGGCACGAAAGCGUGGGGAGGCAAAACA
rnacentral:rRNA from 1 species